UACAGAGGUCUCAAGCGUUGUUCGGAUUCAUUGGGCGUAAAGGGGGCGUAGGUGGCGGGGCAAGUCUGGUGUGAAAUCUCGGAGCUCAACUCCGAAACUGCACUGGAUACUGCCUUGCUCGAGUACUGGAGAGGAGAUUGGAAUUUACGGUGUAGCAGUGAAAUGCGUAGAUAUCGUAAGGAAGACCAGUGGCGAAAGCGAAUCUCUGGACAGUUACUGACACUGAGGCACGAAGGCCAGGGGAGCAAACGGG
rnacentral:rRNA from 1 species